CAGUGAAAAGUGAAAACUGUCACUGUUUGAUCUUAUCCUGCAGUGAAAAGUGAAAACUAUGUCACUGUUUGAUCUUAUCCUGCAGUGAAAAGUGAAAACUGUCACUGUUUGAUCUUAUCCUGCUGCGAAAAGUGAAAACUGUCACUGUUUGAUCUUAUCCUGCUGCGAAAAGUGAAAACUGUCACUGUUUGAUCUUAUCCUGCAAAGUGAAAACUGUCACUGUUUGAUCUUAUCCUGCUGCGAAAAGUGAAAACUGUCACUGUUUGAUCUUAUCCUGCAGUGAAAAGUGAAAACUGUCACUGUUUGAUCUUAUCCUGCUGCGAAAAUGAAAACUGUCACUGUUUGAUCUUAUCCUGCAGUGAAAAGUGAAAACUGUCACUGUUUGAUCUUAUCCUGCAGCGAAAAGUGAAAACUGUCACUGUUUGAUCUUAUCCUGCUGCGAAAAGUGAAAACUGUCACUGUUUGAUCUUAUCCUGCAGAAAAAAUGAAAACUGUCACUGUUUGAUCUUAUCCUGCUGCAAAAAGUGAAAACUGUCACUGUUUGAUCUUAUCCUGCUGUGAAAAGUGAAAACUGUCACUGUUUGAUUUUAUCCUGCUGCGAAAAGUGAAAACUGUCACUGUUUGAUCUUAUCCUGCAGCAAAUAG